AACCUAGCACACCUGCGGUGUGUACCUGCGGAAGGAUCAUUACACAAUAAUAUAUGAAGGCUACACGCGGCUAUGCUUUCGGGCGAGGCAGCGGAGGCUGGAGUAUUUAUCACCCUUGUCUUUUGCGCACUUGUUGUUUCCUGGGCGGGUUCGCCCGCCACCAGGACCCUAUACAAACCUUUCUAUGCAGUUGUAAUCAGCGUCAGUAUAGCAAAUAUAAAUCAUUUACAACUUUCAACA
rnacentral:misc_RNA from 1 species